rnacentral:rRNA from 1 species
GUGUCCCUACGGGAGGCAGCAGUGGGGAAUUUUGGACAAUGGGCGCAAGCCUGAUCCAGCUAUUCCGCGUGUGGGAUGACGGCCCUCGGGUUGUAAACCACUUUAGUAGAGAACGAAAAGGAGCUAUCGAAUAAAUAGCUCUGCUGACGGUACUCUAAGAAAAAGCAUCGGCUAACUCCGUGCCAGCAGCCGCGGUAAUACGGAGGAUGCGAGCGUUAUCCGGAUUUAUUGGGUUUAAAGGGUGCGUAGGCGGGCUUUUAAGUCAGCGGUAAAAAUUCGGGGCUCAACCCCGUCCGGCCGUUGAA